UUAAGUUCAGCGGGUAUCCCUACUUGAUCCGAGGUCAAACCAUAGAAAGAUUUGGGGUUGUCCGGCGGGCAGCACCUAAAGCUCCGAAGCGGAUAGAAUUGACUACGCUGGGAGAUCGGCACCACCGCCUACGGGUUUCUGGCACGUCCUAGGCGGACGAUGCCCAAUACCAAGCAGAAGCUUGAGGUUUGAAAUGACGC
rnacentral:misc_RNA from 1 species